UUUGCAAGCUCUAAAGAAGAUAUCUCAGGAACACCCAACUGCUUGUUUGAGGGCCGGUGCGCUGAUGGCUGUGCUUUCUUAUCUCGAUUUCUUUUCUACUGGUGUUCAGAGAGUAGCAUUGGCCACUGCUGCUAAUAUGUGCAAGAAGCUUCCUUCAGAUGCGUCUGACUUUGUCAUGGAAGCUGUUCCUCUCUUAACGAAUCUCCUCCAAUAUCAUGAUGCAAAGGUAUUAGAGCAUGCUUCUAUCUGCUUGACCCGGAUAGCUGAAGCAUUUGCAUCAUCUCCAGAAAAGCUAGAUGAACUCUGUAAUCACGGACUUG
rnacentral:misc_RNA from 1 species